CUGAGGGAACAUUUUCCGGACUAAUGCUUUUACAAUCUGGGACAAUACAGAGCAAGUUAUGGCCAACACCUGACGCUGAAGUCUGGAUCAAUACCACCAAGCCUCCUGAACAAAAGUUCCUGUUACAGACGGUCAUGAUGAGUAGAAGAAGGCAACAUGAUGAAGCAAAACUCCUCCAUCACCACUACGUUGGAGUCUUCCCAUUCAGUCAUCAUCCAAUUUGCUCCAAAGAAUCAAACACAAGCAGACGCUUCUUACAGAUGGCUGUCCUCUAGAAUGAAAAUGCACACCAACCACCGACAAACAUCAAAAGCUAAUCCAACCUUUGGCUUUGUGUGGAAAGGUCUUCGGAAACCCUGUGACUGAUGCAAUGUUGGUGCCCUAGAAGACAAGUCAGCACAGUUCAGACGAUCCAGCCAGAGGAGGUCACCGCCAGCCUUGUAUCGAGGUUCCAACGUCCUUCAUCGGGGAACUCGGCAUGGAUAUGCAAGACGACACUCGAAUCACUGAUGGACAAAUGCCUGAAACGGCUGGAAAAAUAGAAAAGAUGGUUACAGAGACUGUUAUUGCUGUUCUUCUUUCAGUACAAUAUUUGCCUUCCAUAAAAUAUUCACAUGUUCCAAUUUAAUAUUCUUGAUGCUGUUGUAAAUAAAAUUUGCACACUGUC